rnacentral:rRNA from 1 species
UACGUAGGGGGCUAGCGUUGUCCGGAAUCAUUGGGCGUAAAGCGCGUGUAGGCGGUCCGGUAAGUCCGCUGUGAAAGUCGGGGGCUCAACCCUCGGAUGCCGGUGGAUACUGUCGGGCUUGAGUACGGAAGAGGCGAGUGGAAUUCCUGGUGUAGCGGUGAAAUGCGCAGAUAUCAGGAGGAACACCUGUGGUGUAGACGGCUUACUGGACCGCAACUGACGCUGAGACACGAAAGCGUGGGUAGCAAACAGG